rnacentral:rRNA from 1 species
GACGAACGCUGGCGGCGUGCUUAACACAUGCAAGUCGAGCGGAAAGGCCACUUCGGUGGUACUCGAGCGGCGAACGGGAGAGUAACACGUGAGUAAUCUGCCCCUGGCUUUGGGAUAGCCACCGGAAACGGUGAUUAAUACCGAAUACGACCACUUCUCGCAUGGGAUGGUGGUGGAAAGUUUUUUCGGCCAGGGAUGUGCUCGCGGCCUAUCAGCUUGAUGGUGGGGUAAUGGCUCACCAUGGCUUCGACGGGUAGCCGGCCUGAGAGGGUGACCGGUCACACUCGUCCUGAGACACGGCACAGACUCCUACGGGAGGCAGCAGUGGGGAAUAUUGGUCAAUGGGCGGGAGCCUGCUCCAGAAACGCCUCGUGAGGGGUGACGGCCUUCGGGUUGUAAACCUCUUUCAGCAGGGACGAAGCGCAAGUGACGGUACCUGCAGAAGAAGCACCGGCCAACUACGUGCCAGCCGCCGCGGUAA